AUUUGUUCAGCCGGUUGCCCUUUCCUUUCCUUAUUAGAACUGUUUUCAUCUUUAACCCCCAGUGAGAGGACUUGGAAAAACCAACAAGUUGCUUUGAAUUAUGGCAUAUACUGUACAAAGAGGACCUCCCAUCAGCCAAUGUAAAAUCCAAGAUAGUGGUCUUUGUUGUCGUGGGACAUUCAGCUCUCCAACUGUCUGCCUGUGCAUUCAGCAGGACAAGUCAAGUGAAACAUGGCUUUAGCCAGGUACCACAUACCUCCCCCACUUAUAUAUAUUUUUAAAUAGUGUUGGCAAAUUUUUUAUUUUACCCUUAUUUUACCAGGUAAAUUGACUGAGAACAUAGUUUCAUUUACAGCAACAACCUGGGGAAUAGUUACAGGGAUGAAUGAGCCAACUGGAGACUGGGAUGAUUAGCUGAUCAUGACAGUAUGAGGGCCAGAUUGGUAAUUUAGCCAGGACACAAGAGUUAACACCCCUACUCUUAUGAUACUGUAAGUGCCAUGGAAUCUUUAAUUGACCACAGUGAGUCAGGACACCCGUUUAACAUCCCAUCCAAAAGACAGCACCCUACACAGGGCAAUGUCCCUAAUCACUGCCCUGGGGCAUUGGAAUGUUUAUUUUAGAUCAGAAGAAAGAGUGCUACCUACUGGCCCUCCAACACCACGUCCAGGAGCAUCUGGUGUCCCAUCCAGGGACCGCAGGGUGGUUUGCUGCUGGCCAAAGUUAGCUGAAGUUUGUAUUGACCUAUUAAAGAAAACCGAACCAUGGAUUACAGUUUCUCCUGGUCUAUAAACUACUUUCAGGCUUUUCCCCCUUACCUGGGAGGCAGAGACUGACUGGUUGCUGGAAGAGCAUUUCUGUGCAGAGUUCACACUACCAAGAUUUGAAUCAAGUUCAACUACCACCAAGCUACUGCAAAAUGUAGUUCAAUUGCCAGUUGAACUACAUGUAGCUCACUACUUCCCAACACUGUUGAUGAGCAGCAUUUCAACAGACUUCCUUCUAAACAUGGAGUGAUUUAUGGAUGAUGUGGAUGUCUGUGGGAAGAUGAAUUAGAUAGUGUUUUGAAAGCGAAAAGGAUACUUUUUAAAAUUUAAUUUAAUAAAGUAUUGUUUAAGGUAAUUUCACCAAAUUUCACUCUGUAGCAAAACAUUUUCACCUGUUUUGUGCCAACUGAACAUGUCCACACUGUGUCUCCACAGUCAAGACUUGAUGAACAGGUGUGACCAUGGCAACACAGUCUCUAAAACUCACCAUGAGGUCAUGUUUAGUAGGCACAAAAUGGGAGAAAAGGGACUGAAAUGGAGUGACACAGAAAAGUUUUAUUUGAACUUUAAUAGUUCAAAUAAAUAGUCGGUUUUAAAAUGUUUUGUUACAGUGUGCCCUACUGAACAUGACCCAGGGUCCUGACCCUUUUUGGAAUGACUCUGCGCUAUUGGCUGAUGAACAGGGCCAAGUUCGAGGAGCUGUAUCCUGAGCGUGUGUUCCUCUGGUGGCAGUGAUGGAGAAGGCCCAGUUGCAGCUCGAAGACAUCUUCGGAGGAACCACACACGUAAAUCCCCUCCAUGAAAACACAGCAAGUUCUUCAAAAGGGAAGUCAGCGCUACAUUCAACGCAGAAGAGGCAGACGCUAAUGUAUACUGUUUCUAGUUGGUGUGACACCCUCUCUUUUAAGACAACAUAAUUGCAUGUAGUACACAGCAUAUUUGAUGAUACAGUUAGUGUUUCUCAAAAGGGAUUUCGGUGCUCCCCAGCCAUUUCACAUAAGGGCUUACUGAUUAGUUGAAUCAUGUGUGCUAGAAUUGGAAUCAAAAACAUACAGUGCCUUCAGAAAGUAUUCACGCCCCUUGAUUUUUCUAAAAAAUACAAAUCUGAUUGUUGAUCAUUACUAACAGGGCCGGGUCUAGCCUUUUGGGGUCCCUAAGCGAGAUUUGGUUGGGGGGCCCACCACCUCGCUGCAAAACAUUUUAGUGGCCCCCCUCUUAAACUCAUACAUUUCUACUCAUUUUGCAAUACUGGCUCGUCAGGCUCCCACGCCUCAGGCGGCUUGUAUGGCUCCCACGCAUUAGGUGGCUCGAUAGGUUUACAAGACCUGGUUGCCCCGUCAAGCGUCCGUUGCCGAGUCUACCGAGGAUGCCUCAGCUGGUUUGUCAGGUUCACAAGACUCGUUUGGCUCGGCAGGCUCCUACGCCUUUGGCAGGCUGGUCAGGUUCCCGCGCCUCAGCAGAAGCCAUUUUGCCAUGGUGUGGAGAGAUUCCAUUUUUAUAUGAGAUGGCGCAAGAGUUGAUGGCUGCUGUUUUGUGCUAUUGUGUGUUUUUUUUUGCGUUAUUUGUAACUUAUUUUGUACGUAAUGUUUCUGCCACCCGAAAAUAGCAUCUGGAUAUCAGCACAGUGAUUACUCACCUCGUACUGGACAAAGAUCUUUUCCUUAAUGAGUCGGAUGCAAAGGAUUUACUUCAGACACCAGACAAGGCCCAAAUCCCCGUCAUUCGCAUGAAGAAGAGACGGAGAUAUCGGGGACGUAGGUCAGUGUGCCUUGUAAGUAUCCGACGGCGAGUGGGUAAUCCACCUCUACCAUCAAUCCUAUUAGCCAAAGUGCAAUCUGUCACGUAUACGCCCUCUCCGGCCUCUAGGUCAUCAGGCUGCUGAUUAUCCCGCACACCUGUCACCAUCGUCUCGUGCACCUGCGCCUCAUGACACUCACCUGGACUCCAUCACCUCCUUGAUUAUCUUCCCUAUAUCUGUCAGAUUGCCAGGCUUCCCUGCCUUAGCCGUCUCGUCAGGCUCUCAUGCCUCAGCCGGAUCACCAUGCUCCCCUGCCUCACCCGGCUCGUCAGGCUUUCAUGCCUCCGCCGGAUCGCCAGGCUUCCCGGCUUCCACCAGCUUGUCACGUUCUCAUGCCUCAGCCGGAUCGCCAGGCUCCCCUGCCUCAACCAAUCUGUCAGGUUCCCGCAUCCCAACUGACUAAACAGGUUAUUGCGCAUCAGCAGGGCUGACGAGUCUGCUCCUGAUCCCCGGGUUUGUAACCUUUGACGGCGUCCUGCGGCUAGAGCCGCGCGUUGGGGAGGGAGG